UAGCUUAGUCAGGUAGAGCACCGGGCUUUUAACCCGGUGGCCGGGGGUUCGAAUCCC
rnacentral:tRNA from 1 species